AGCGAACCGGGAAGAGCUCAAAUUUGAAAUCUGGCGUCCCACGGGCGUCCGAGUUGUAACCUGCAGAAGCGUUUUCCGCGCCGGACCGCGUCCAAGUCCCUUGGAACAGGGUAUCAAAGAGGGUGACAAUCCCGUACUUGACGCGACCCCCGGUGCUUUGUGAUGCGUCUUCAAAGAGUCGAGUUGUUUGGGAAUGCAGCUCAAAACGGGUGGUAAAUUCCAUCUAAGGCUAAAUAUUGGCGAGAGACCGAUAGCGAACAAGUACCGUGAGGGAAAGAUGAAAAGCACUUUGGAAAGAGAGUUAAACAGUACGUGAAAUUGUUGAAAGGGAAACGAUUGAAGUCAGUCGUGUCCGAGGGGUUCAGCCGGUCCUGCCGGCGCACUCCCCUCGGACGGGUCAACAUCGGUUUUGACCGACGGAAAAGGGCGUGAGGAAAGUGGCACCCUCGGGUGUGUUAUAGCCUCGCGUCGCACACGUCGGUCGAGACCGAGGAACGCAGCUCGCCCUCACGGGCCGGGGUCCGCCCACGUACGAGCUUAGG
rnacentral:rRNA from 2 species